AAGUCUGGUGCCAGCAGCCGCGGUAACUUCAGCUCCAAUAGCGUAUAUUAACAUUGUUGCAUUUAAAAAGCUCGUAGUUGAAUUUAUUUUUAUAAAUUUUAUAUAAGUAAUAUUAUUUUAUAAUAAAAUUAUUUAAAUUUAUUUUUUAUAAUUUUAUUAUAUAUUAAACGGUAAUAUUAUUUAUAAUUUAUAAAAAAAUUUUAUGUUAUAUUAUUUAGUAAUAGAUAAUAUAAUAUAAAUAUUACUGUGAAAAAAUUAGAGUGUUUAAAGCAUGUAUAUAAAAUUAAAAAAUAUAUUUUCUGAAUAUAUUUUUUUAGCUUGAAUAUAUUAGCAUGGAAUAAUAAUAUUAUAAUAUUUUUAUAUUAUUUUGUUGGUUAAAUAUAAAAAUAUAUGAUUAAUAGGGACAAUUGGGGGUACUUAUAUUUCAUAGUCAGAGGUGAAAUUCUGGGAUUUAUGAAAGAUAAACAAAUGCGAAAGCAUUUACCAAAAAUGUUUUCAUUAAUCAAGAACGAAAGUUAGGGGAUCAAAGAGGCUUAGAUACCCUCGUAG
rnacentral:rRNA from 1 species